CCCUUAGAUGUUCUGGGCUGCACGCGCGCUACACUGAUGCGUUCAACAAGUUGGACCUUGUCCGAGAGGAAAUCGGGGGAAUCUUUUGAAAACGUAUCGUGAUGGGGAUAGAUUAUUGUAAUUAUUAAUCUUCAACGAGGAAUUCCUAGUAAGCAUGAAUCAUCAGCUUGCGCUGAUUACGUCCCUGCCCUUUGUACACACCGCCCGUCGCUACUACCGAUUGAAUGGUUUAGUGAGAUCUCUGGAUUGACGCUGGCUAGGGGGCGACCCUUGGCCAGACUGUUGAGAAACUGCUCAAACUUGAUCAUUUAGAGGAAGUAAAAGUCGUAACA
rnacentral:rRNA from 1 species